rnacentral:miRNA from 1 species
ACUGGGCAGGGCUGUGGUGAGU